rnacentral:rRNA from 1 species
GACGAACGCAGGCGGCGUGCCUAACACAUGCAAGUCGAACGGGGUAGCAAUACCCAGUGGCGGACGGGUGCGUAACACGUGAGGAACAUGUCUUUCGGCGGGGAAUAGCCGGCCUAACGGCCGGGUAAUACCGCGUACGACGAUCGAGGCGCAUGUCUUGAUCGUGAAAGCAGCAAUGCACCGAUAGAGUGCCUCGCGGCCUAUCAGCUAGUUGGUGGGGUAACGGCUCACCAAGGCGACGACGGGUAGCUGGUCUGAGAGGAUGAUCAGCCACAUUGGGACUGAGACACGGCCCAGACUCCUACGGGAGGCAGCAGUGGGGAAUAUUGCGCAAUGGGCGAAAGCCUGACGCAGCGACGCCGCGUGUGGGAUGAAGGUCUUCGGAUUGUAAACCACUGUCGGGAGGGACGAAUGCGCCGCAAGGCGAGUGACGGUACCUCCAAAGGAAGCACCGGCUAACUCUGUGCCAGCAGCCGCGGUAAUACG